CCCUCCUCCACUGCUUUGCCUCUAAAGCGCCAGACGCGCUCUCUCUGCCGCCGCACUUUCCCUCUCCGCACCCGCCACAACUCGGUAUCCGGCCUCGAUCCUCCCGCUGCCGCCCACCCGUGCCAUGGAUGCCAAGGUUGUCAUCGUGCUGGCCCUCGUGCUGACUGCGCUCUGCCUCAGCGACGGAAAACCGGUCAGCCUGAGCUACAGAUGUCCUUGCCGAUUCUUCGAGAGCCACGUUGCCAGGGCCAACAUCAAGCAUCUCAAAAUCCUCAACACUCCAAACUGUGCCCUUCAGAUUGUGGCAAGGCUGAAGAAUAACAACAGACAAGUGUGCAUUGACCCAAAAUUGAAGUGGAUUCAGGAAUAUCUGGAGAAAGCUUUAAACAAGAGGUUCAAGAUGUGAGAGGCGCAGGUUGGGUCAGACGCCUGAGGAAGCCUUACAGUAGGAAGCUGAGUCUGAAACAGUGUUAAGAAGGGCCCCCAACAGUUCCCUUAUGCAGCCUGGGCGGGGCUGAAUGCAUUUCCCAGGGCUUUGUUUUGCACAGUUUGCCUUACUUUCACUGUUUGAUUAUGUAGCAAAAUAUAUUCUGUUUAUUUUCAUUUAGCUCGAUUAUCUAAUGUCACUGGUGGCAGAUAGGAACUUAGACAAAACCAUUAUAAUUUUACAUUAUAAUAUGUUUUCCAUGGAGCCCCUGGUCUGACUACGGGUUCCUGAAUUUUAUAUUCCUGAACUGCACAGGCUGGGACCCCAGGCUGAGGGAGCCUUCCCUACAUUAUCAUGUUCUGGGACCGACAGCCACUAGCAGAUAUCAGGACUAGUCAGCAUGGGCAAACCCUAGUGAAGGCAGCCACAAGGGGUGAUGGAGGGUUAGGUUCCAGAGGGCCAGGCAGGAGGCCCACCCUUCCUCUAAGUGAGCAUCACAGGGCUUCCCUGAGCUAAGGCAGGCAGGAGUGUGAGGCCAGGAUAGGGCAAGAUGCACCCUUCAUCCCGAGCUCUCCUCUACAUCUCAUCACGUUCUUCUCAUCAUUCUUUCUCUCAUCCAUCAUCAUGUGUAUCCAAGACUGUCUCCAUGACCCUGGAAAAGAACUCUCAAGAUGAAAGCUUUAAUUUAAACUGAGCACCAAGAAACAAAUCAAAACAUAUUGUGUUACCAGGUCCUGGAAAUGCUGUGCACAUCUGUGUCGUUUGGAAUAUUAUCUGUUGUCCAAUUCUCUGUUUUUGUUCAAAGCUAAUGUCCUCUGUGCUGUAUUGUGGGUUCCACACAUGCAGAGGCCGAGAGCGAGGAGAUGCCCCUCAGGGUCUCUGACCAGGCCCCUGAUUAGGGCUGUGAUAUUUUUGAGUGGAUGACUUUGUGUUCCCCACUGAUCACAGAGCCAUGGUGGAUCAACAGAGCUCAAGGGAAUUCAGGUUGCAGUAGUACUGACCUCUGAGGACACUGACCCUCAAUGUUUCCAUUGAUGUUGAUACCUCAGAACUAUAGAGUGCUUUAACUUUGUUGUGUCAAGCCCAGCAUUUUUCUGGGAAUGACAGGAAUAACAAGAAAAAAUUCUCAACUUUUUUUGGUUUGGAAAACCUGAUCCAUAAAAUAUUCAAUACUGAGUAUUUCUUCCUGAUUAAAAUCUAACCUCAUUUUUUUUUUACCAUUUGGCAAUCCCUCAUCUUUUGCCUUGCACAGUGGACCCUGGACCUUCUCUGCUACUGCUGUUACCUGUGCUUCCAGGACAUCCAGCAAGGCGUUCCUCUUAGAAAAUGAUGGAGCAUUAUUAAAGUUGGUUAAGAACCCUGAUGUUUGGGGCAUUUCCCUUUAAUGAGGGCAUUUUUUAGAAUUACAUUAAACGGCUUAAAAUUUUUGCUUUUUAAAAAGGUAGGCACUUGAGGGUUUUUUGCAUUUUUGCUUAUUUGUUUGCUAAUUUAUCAUUUGGUCUCACUAAUAUUUUUCCCCUUUGAUUAAAGAUCCCAGUAAAAUUUUUAUAAUUAAGAAAAUAGAAAAAAAAGGAUAAAAUAAGGAAAUAUAUCAAUUGACAAGACACUGCAAAUAACAUGCAGAAAGUAUAGUAUAGUAAAUUUAUCUUGAAUUGUAGGUGUCUUUAUAUUUAAUAAUCUUUGGGUUAUUAGUAACGUGUUAGGCAUUUCUAUAAAUAUUUCUUAAAAUUUGAUCUUUAUGGUAGAAGGCCAAUUCAUCAACCAAAAAUUCAUGUCCUCUAAACAGCUAUGUUAUAUUGAAAAAAAUAGAGUAUCGGGGACCUUUAUUAGUUAUAAGGGAUACAGAACCUUCUUUUAAAAUUAACCUGUCUCUAUAGGGCUCCUGAAUUAUACAUGAAAUUAUUGAAUUUUCAGUGGUAGGGUCAUUUUCCAGGUAAUCUAAGAUAUUUUAAAAUCUCAUGAAAAAUUUGGAAGCAUCUUUUUCUAGAAUCCAUGAACCAGAACCAUUAAAUCUGUUACUCCAAGGAAAUAAAUAUGCCCCUGAAUCCUGAUUACAGUUAAAGAAUCAUUUCUGUUUCUCCCCUAUAGGAGAAAAAAAUAGGUAAGAGUAGAAACUGCAAGAAAAAUUAUUUGUGUAACAAUUUCUCUACUUUCAAUCUGCUUCUAAAAGGAGACUUCCUAUCUAAAGCAAAUAUGCAUUUAAAUAGUUCAUUUGCAAAGGAAAAGGCUCUCCCUCUUGCUUUCAAAAUACAGGUCAAGUGCAUUAGGUGAUUAAGGGUCACCCAGCUGUUUCUCCAGGUCCAGAGCUGCCUCUACCUGAGCUUCUCUUGGGCUUGUUGUAACCUCCAAGGUGGUCCUCCAUUGCCAGCCUCUGCAUCUCCGGGAGAGGGGCGACUGUAGGGACUGGGGCUCACAAACAUGCUGUUUGUUGGAAUCCGAAUCUCUGCCAUGUGUUGUUUGCACUGUUCUUUGUCCCACUUCUGCCAGGUGCUGAGACCCCAGCGAGGAGGCUCAGGAGAGGCUCUCUGCUUGUCUGAGCAGAAGGCCUGCAUAGCAAAAGGCUACAGUGCUCCCUGUGUGAAGUCCAGAGAGUUUCUAAGCCUUUCUAUUGGAUCAGAUUUCAUCUUCCUUUUCUGACUACGGUCUGAUAUAAUCACCAUAGGCUCCCUCACUGGGUCUUCAUCAGCUUUCCCGGGUGUCACACCCUUUUGCAGCUGUGGAGUCCUGAUCCCUCUAUACAUCUCCCCUGAACCAUGCUGAGGGAACCCUAUUCUUGGGAAAUGCUCCCUAGAAAUAUCCACAUCCGCUCAACAGACCACUGACAUAGCCAAGUUAAAAAAAGAAAAUAACACAGAAAACUUGUUAUUCUGAAAACUCGCUGGACUCUCAGUCUCUGAGCAGUGAUGGAUUCAGUGUUAAAUGUGAUGAAUACUGUAUUUUGUAUUGUUUGAAUUGCAUCUCCCAGAUAAUGUGAAAAUGGUCCAGGAGAAGGCAGCUUCCUGUAUGCAGUCUGCUUUUUUUAAAAAAAUAGUAACAUCUCAUUUUGAGAAACAAUUUCUACUUUGAAGUCAUAUCAAUGAAAAGAUGUAUAUGCACUUAUAAUUGUCCUAAUAAAGACAUGUAU